AAUAUUGCGCAAUGGGGGAAACCCUGACGCAGCAACGCCGCGUGAACGAAGAAGGCUUUCGGGUCGUAAAGUUCUGUCAAGUGGGACGAAGGCUUAUAGGUUAACAGCCUAUGAGAUGACGGUACCUAUAGAGGAAGCUCCGGCUAACUACGUGCCAGCAGCCGCGGUAAUACGUAGGGAGCGAGCGUUGUCCGGAAUUACUGGGCGUAAAGGGCGCGUAGGCGGUUAUUUAAGUCAGAUGUGAAAAACCGAGGCUCAACCUCGGCCUUGCAUUUGAAACUGGAUGACUUGAGGAUGAGAGAGGAAAGUGGAAUUCCUAGUGUAGCGGUGAAAUGCGUAGAUAUUAGGAGGAACACCAGUGGCGAAGGCGACUUUCUGGCUCAUACCUGACGCUGAGGCGCGAAAGCGUGGGGAGCAAACAGGAUUAGAUACCCUGGUAGUCCACGCCGUA
rnacentral:rRNA from 1 species